rnacentral:rRNA from 1 species
AUCCUUUAAAGAGUGCGUAAUAGCUCACUGGUCGAGUAAACCUGCGCCGAAAAUGUACGGGACUAAGUAAUUUGCCGAAGCUAUGGGAUAAUGUUAAAUUAUCGGUAGGGGAGCGUUCUGUGUGUAGGUUGAAGCGUUAGCGAAAGCGGGCGUGGACAAAGCAGAAGUGAGAAUGUCGGCUUGAGUAGCGAAAACAUUGGUGGGAAUCCAAUGCCCCGAAAAUCUAAGGUUUCCUCCGGAAGGCUCGUCCGCGGAGGGUUAGUCAGGACCUAAGGCGAGGCCGAUUUGGCGUAGUCGAUGGAUAACAGGUAGAUAUUCCUGUACCACUUUUUAUUGACAAUGAGGGACGAAGCAGGCUAGUUCAGCCGGAUGUUGGUUACCGGUUUAAGCGUUUAGGUGUUGAGGAGUAGAGAAAAUAUUCUGAGCUAAGGCGUGAGUAGAAGAUACGUAAUUGUAUUGAAGUGAAUGAUGCUGUACUUCCAAGAAAAGCUUACACUGUCGUAAAUAUAAAGUGCCUGUACCCUAAACCGACACAGGUGGAUAAGUAGAGAAUACUAAGGGGCGCGAGAUAACUCUCUCUAAGGAACUCGGCAAAAUAACCCCGUAACUUCGGGAGAAGGGGUGCCUAUUUAGGCUGCAAUAACAAGGUCCAAGCGACUGUUUACCAAAAACACAGGUCUCCGCAAAGUCGCAAGACAAUGUAUGGGGGCUGACGCCUGCCCAGUGCCGGAAGGUUAAGGAAGUUGGUUAGUCUAUGACGAAGCUGGCGACUGAAGCCCCGGUGAACGGCGGCCGUAACAAUAACGGUCCUAAGGUAGCGA